GCGCGGCGCCCCUUUACGACGGCGAUCUCUUAUAUCUGGCCGAGGGCCUCCGGGGAGGUUGCGGGCGGCGAGGGGUGCCUCCGGCCGCACGCCCAUUCUUGUCUACUGACCCGGUUGCCUCGGCGGGCCGCGCCUGCUGUGCUACAGCGGCCGUUCGGGGGGGACGCCUGAGGGGGACUCUUGUUUCCUAGGCCACGCCCCGGGCAGCGCUCGCCGGAGGAUUACUCUGGAAAACACACUCUUGAAAGAACAUACCGUCUGAGCGAGCAACGCAAAUCAGUUAAAACUUUCAACAACGGAUCUCUUGGUUCCGGCAUCGAUGAAGAACGCAGCGAAAUGCGAUAAGUAAUGUGAAUUGCAGAAUUCCGUGAAUCAUCGAAUCUUUGAACGCACAUUGCGCCCCCUGGCAUUCCGGGGGGCAUGCCUGUUCGAGCGUCAUUUCAACCCCUCAAGCCCGGCUUGUGUGAUGGACGACCGUCCCCCCUCCCCAGUAACCACCCACCGCUUAGGGGGGUGGGAGGGAGGGGGACGCGCCCGAAAAGCAGUGGUCAGGCCGCGAUUCCGGCUCCUGGGCGAAUGGGACAUACCACCGCCUCCAGGACCGGCCGGCAGGCUGGCCUAACGCACCAUGUAUUAUUCAGGUUGACCUCGGAUCAGGUAGGGAUACCCGCUGAACUUAAGCAUAUCAUAAGCCGGGAAGAGACAGACUCACGGUCGGCUGAUAGUGAAUAUUGCUCCAUAGGCGGAGAGGACAAUCUCCUUCGGCUUAUAGAAAGAGCCCCCGCUGACUGGAGAGACCCCCCCGUCGAAUAGAGAGGGCCACGCCACAGUAGAAGGCCACACGCGCUACUGAAUAUGUACGCAGCCGAGGUGACAGGAGCCGCUCCACUUAGUUAGAAGGGCUGCGGCCUCGUAUCGAUAGAUGAGCUGCGGCAUGCUAGUAGGUAGUGACGUAUGAGCGCUGCUGACAAUCGGUAGCCGGAUCAGCUGCGCUGGCUGAAAGUGACUACGAUAGCAUCGCAAGU
rnacentral:rRNA from 1 species